rnacentral:rRNA from 1 species
UACGAAGGGUGCAAACGUUGCUCGGAAUUAUUGGGCGUAAAGCGCACGUAGGCGGCUUUGCAAGUCGGAAGUGAAAUCCCUCGGCUCAACCAAGGAAGUGCUUUCGAAACUGCAGAGCUUGAGUACUUAAGAGGAUCGCGGAAUUCUCGGUGUAGAGGUGAAAUUCGUAGAUAUUGGGAAGAACACCGGUGGCGAAGGCGGCGACCUGGUCCUUGACUGACGCUGAGGCGCGAAAGCGUGGGGAGCAAACAGG